rnacentral:misc_RNA from 1 species
GAUGAAGAACGCAGCGAAAUGCGAUAAGUAAUGUGAAUUGCAGAAUUCAGUGAAUCAUCGAAUCUUUGAACGCACAUUGCGCCCACCAGUAUUCUGGCGGGCAUGCCUGUCCGAGCGUCAUUUCAACCCUCGAACCCCUCCGGGGGGUCGGCGUUGGGGAUCGGCCCUUUACGGGGCCGGCCCCGAAAUACAGUGGCGGUCUCGCCGCAGCCUCUCCUGCGCAGUAGUUUGCACACUCGCAUCGGGAGCGCGGCGCGUCCACAGCCGUUAAACACCCCAAACUUCUGAAAUGUUGACCUCGGAUCAGGUAGGAAUACCCGCUGAACUUAAGCAUAUCAAUAAGCGGAGGA